rnacentral:rRNA from 1 species
CCUACGGGGGGCAGCAGUGGGGAAUUUUGCGCAAUGGGGGAAACCCUGACGCAGCAACGCCGCGUGGGUGAUGAAGGCCCUUGGGUCGUAAAGCCCUGUCGGGUGGGAAGAAUCCCUUGGCGGCGAAUAGUCGCCAAGGAUGACGGUACCACUAGAGGAAGCACCGGCUAACUCUGUGCCAGCAGCCGCGGUAAUACAGAGGGUGCAAGCGUUGUUCGGAAUCACUGGGCGUAAAGCGCGUGUAGGCGGCCGAUUGUGUCGAGUGUGAAAGCCCUCGGCUUAACCGAGGAAGUGCACUCGAAACUGGUCGGCUUGAGUACCGGAGAGGAAGGUGGAAUUCCCGGUGUAGAGGUGAAAUUCGUAGAUAUCGGGAGGAACACCAGUGGCGAAAGCGACCUUCUGGACGGAUACUGACGCUGAGACGCGAAAGCGUGGGGAGCAAACAGGCUUAGAUACCCCGGUAGUC